CCGGUUCUCCGUUUGCGCCAUUGCCCUGGUGGUUCCGCCUCGUGGGUUAGAUCCCAAAUUACGCCCGCUCUCGAUCCUUAAUAAUGGGAAGGGGCUUCCACUUGUCGCCCUCCGCCUCCUGCACCUCAGUGACUUCCCUGACCAAGGAGGAAGAAUUGGCGUGCAGCCUGGGCUUCCCUCAAUGGCCACCAUUCCGCUGGCACAAUGUAGUGCCCUGCCCCGGGCCUCAGUUUCCCCAUCUGUGGAACUGAGUGUGGCCUCGACGUCAAAAAUGUGGACUCUGGUCCGGUCGCGGUGGCUCACGCCUGUAAGUAAUCCCAGCACUUUGGGAGACCAAGGCGGGCCGAUCACUUGAGGUCAGGAGUUCGAGACCAGCUUGGCCAACAUGGUGAAACCCCCGUCCCUACUAAAAAUACAAAAAGUAGCCGGGCGUGGUGGUGUGUGCCUGUAAUCCCAGCUACCCGGGAGGCUGAGGCAGGAGAAUCACUUGAACCCGAGAGGCAGAGGUUGCAGUGAGCCAGAUCGUACCACAGCACUCGAGCCUGGGUGACAGAGCUCAAAAAAAAAGAAAAGAAAAAUGUGGACUCUGUGGUCAUAGAGCCUGAUCUAGAAUCCUGGCUCUGCCACUUACUAGUUGGCAGGCGCUUGGGCAAGUCACUGAGCCUCAGUUUCCUCUUCCAUUAAAUGAGGAUAUUAGUUCUUGCAAAAUAGUGUUGGUGAGAUUUACAAGAGAUAAUAACACCUAUAUCAGGUGCUUAGCAUGGCCAUUGAAAAGUGUCACAUGGGAGUGCUGAUUAUAUGUUAACUGUUAUCUUACCUAGGGAUUGUGAGAAAGCAAGUGAAAUUACUCGUGGAAGUGAAUGGACUGCUUUGAGUCUUCAAGGCGUUAAUUUUCCAAACGUUUGAAUUCUAUCCCUGGUCUGAGAGCUAGGGAUGCAGCCUAGCAAGGGAAACAGGUAACUAAUAUAGAACAGCAGUACCUGCAAAUAUCUGUCUCUGUGAGGAUAGAUCAAAUCCAGGCUUGGUCACUCACCACCCCUGUGAUCUUGGACAACCUCUUAACCUCUCUGGGCUUCAGUUUCAUCUGCUAAGUGGGAAAGCAGUGGUGUGUGGUGAUUAAAAGCUUCAGCUUUGGAGCUGGAUGGUCAACAUGGAAUCCUGGGCCUUAAACUCAGUGUCUCUGAGACAUAGGACAAAGUACAGUCAGCUGUCCAUGUUUACAGGUUCCCCAUCUACGGAUUGAAGCAACUGUGGGUGGUUAAUAUUUGUGGGGGAAAACAGUAAAAAAUAACAGUUCAACAAUAAAAAUAAUACA
ensembl:lncRNA NSMCE1-DT NSMCE1 divergent transcript